UGUGGUUAAAAAGCUCGUAGUUGGAUCUCGGCGGUCUGAGGGCGGUUCGCUUGAUUGAGUGCUACUGCUCUAUAGGCCGUGGUUUUGCCGGAGGUCUCGGGGUGCUCUUAACCGAGUGUCCUGCGAUGCUGGCAGGUUUACUUUGAAAAAAUUAGAGUGCUCAAAGCAGGCUUUUACGCCUGAAUAUUCGUGCAUGGAAUAAUAGAAUAGGAAGUCGUUUCUAUUUUGUUGGUUUUCGGAAAUCGGCUUAAUGAUUAAUAGGGACAGUCGGGGGCAUUUGUAUUCAAACGACAGAGGUGAAAUUCUUGGACCGUUUGAAGACAAACUACUGCGAAAGCAUUUGCCAAGAAUGUUUUCAUUAAUCAAGAACGAAAGUUAGAGGUUCGAAGGCGAUUAGAUACCGCCCUAGUUCUAACCAUAAACG
rnacentral:rRNA from 1 species